AGAGUUUGAUCAUGGCACCAUACUCAAAUGAAUUGACGAGAGUUUGAUCCUGGCUCAGAACGAACGUUAGCGGCGCGCUUAACACAUGCAAGUCGUGCGAGAAAGGGGCAACCCCGGUAAAGCGGCGCACGGGUGAGUAACACGUAGGUAAUUUACCCCCAGGUGGUGGAUAACCUUCCGAAAGGAGGGCUAAUACAGCAUGAGACCACGAUCCCGCAAGGGAUUGGGGUCAAAGCCGGCCUCUUCAUGAAAGCUGGCGCCAGGGGAUGAGCCUGCGGCCCAUCAGCUAGUUGGUAGGGUAACGGCCUACCAAGGCGAAGACGGGUAGCUGGUCUGAGAGGAUGAUCAGCCACACUGGAACUGAGACACGGCCCAGACUCCUACGGGAGGCAGCAGUGGGGAAUCUUGCGCAAUGGGCGAAAGCCUGACGCAGCGACGCCGCGUGAGUGAUGAAGGCCUUCGGGUUGUAAAGCUCUGUGGAGGGGGACGAAUAAGUCGUGGCCAACAUCCACGAUGAUGACGGUACCUCUUUAGCAAGCACCGGCUAACUCUGUGCCAGCAGCCGCGGUAAGACAGAGGGUGCAAACGUUGUUCGGAAUUACUGGGCGUAAAGCGCGUGUAGGCUGCUCUGCAAGUCGGAUGUGAAAGCCCUGGGCUCAACCUAGGAAGUGCAUUCGAAACUGCAAAGCUUGAGUCCUGGAGAGGAAGGCGGAAUUCUCGGUGUAGAGGUGAAAUUCGUAGAUAUCGAGAGGAACACCGGUGGCGAAGGCGGCCUUCUGGACAGUGACUGACGCUGAGACGCGAAAGCGUGGGGAGCAAACAGGAUU
rnacentral:rRNA from 1 species